AGAAAAUCCAAGCUGGUUAAUUUUUGCUACGUGGAUUUAAAUGCAGAAUGUGGGGUGCCUGGACCUCCCCAGCCUCACUAAGGAGAGGCUCCUCUGCUGACGCCGUGGCCGUUUGUUCAGCGCUGGGCUGAAAGGGAGUCACGUAGCAGUGGAUUAUUUUUUCCUAGAGGCUUCUCAGCUUUCCAGGAGAAGAAUCCUGAGCAAAGGGAGUUUUCUAGAAAAUAUGAAUGUGAUACCAGGCACCCGCACCUCCUGGACUGCUUCCUGUGACCAUGUCAGAAACCCAUGACAGCUCCUUUCACCUGCUCUGCAGAACACAGGGGUUGCCUUGUGGAACUAACAGAAUUGUUGUUGUCAUAGAUGGGACCCCACACAGGCAGAUUGCUGCUGCAAGGAGAAACUUUGAUUAUUUCCAAAUGACUGGGCAAAAGAACCUGCUUGACCCCCUCCUUCCUGACAGCUCUUGCAAAGAACAUCUCUGUCAGAAGCCCAGAAGAGUCUGCUGAGAGGGGCUCAGCCUCUGUACAGUGGAUGGAAAAUCCAGAUCUUGGAGCCUGGCUUGCAGAAAGGAGCUACUCAUUGCAGAUGGAACCCACAGUGCUGCAUUGCUGAGCUAAGAGCUCCUUGGCUGUUAAGUUUUCCAGUAAUUUUCCCAGGUAAAUGAUGCA